GAUGAAGAACGUAGCUAAAUGCGAUAAGUAGUGUGAAUUGCAGAAUUCAGUGAAUCAUCGAAUCUUUGAACGCACAUUGCGCCCCUUGGUAUUCCAUGGGGCAUGCCUGUUCGAGCGUCAUUUGUACCUUCAAGCUCUGCUUGGUGUUGGGUGUUUGUCUCGCCUCUGCGUGUAGACUCGCCUUAAAACAAUUGGCAGCCGGCGUAUUGAUUUCGGAGCGCAGUACAUCUCGCGCUUUGCACUCAUAACGACGACGUCCAAAAGUACAUUUUUACACUCUUGACCUCGGAUCAGGUAGGGAUACCCGCUGAACUUAAGCAUAUCAAUAAGCGGAGGA
rnacentral:misc_RNA from 1 species